rnacentral:lncRNA from 1 species
UGUUUUUGCCCAACUAUGUGGUGAUUUUAAUUUUCUGUGUCUAUUUUGGGGGGUCUAGGCUAAGGUCUGGUGUUCAGUAGGUUAAGUGUACUAAAUGCAUUUUGUACUUAGUAUACUUUCAAUUUCUGAUGGGUUUGUUGGGACGUGACCCCAUUGUAAGUUGGAUGGCAUGUGUAGUUGCUUUUUGGAGUGUUUUCCUUGCUUGGUUCGACUUUAGAGGCGAUUCAUUUGUAGAUGGGAGUAUGUGGUCUACUAGGUACAACUCUAGUUUUUUCUGUUUUUCUUGGAGUUUUUUUUCCCUGGUGAAUAAGUGGUUUGUUGCUUAGGUGGCAUAUUUUUUUAUGUUGCUUGAGGUCCUUGAUUCAGAUAUAUCAAGUUUCUGACAUUCUUGUGUUGUUGUAAUUGCAAAUUUCUUUUUAGUUAUUUUUGUUAUAUGUU